GAUCAUUACCGAGCGAGAAUUCUCUGAAUUCAACCUCCCACCCGUGUUUAUUGUACCUUGUUGCUUCGGCGGGCCCGCCUCACGGCCGCCGGGGGGCAUCUGCCCCCGGGCCCGCGCCCGCCGAAGACACCUUGAACUCUGUAUGAAAAUUGCAGUCUGAGUCUAAAUAUAAAUUAUUUAAAACUUUCAACAACGGAUCUCUUGGUUCCGGCAUCGAUGAAGAACGCAGCGAAAUGCGAUACGUAAUGUGAAUUGCAGAAUUCAGUGAAUCAUCGAGUCUUUGAACGCACAUUGCGCCCCCUGGUAUUCCGGGGGGCAUGCCUGUCCGAGCGUCAUUGCUGCCCUCAAGCCCGGCUUGUGUGUUGGGUCUCGUCCCCCUUCCCGGGGGGACGGGCCCGAAAGGCAGCGGCGGCACCGCGUCCGGUCCUCGAGCGUAUGGGGCUUUGUCACCCGCUCUGUAGGCCCGGCCGGCGCU
rnacentral:misc_RNA from 1 species